AGCUGGACAGUGCCAUGGUGUGAAUACUGAUGAUACUGAAUAUGCGGAUGCUGAUGAUGUGGAUGCUGAUGAUGUGGAUGCCUCUGUUGAUCAACCAGGGACUGAAAUAGCUGGACAGUGCCAUGAUGUGAAUACUGAUGAUACUGAUGAUGUGGAUGCUGAUGAUGUGGAUGUUGAUAAUGUUGAUGCCUCCGUUGAUCAACCAGGGACUGAAAUAGGUCAACUCGAAGCAGUCGUAAAUGCUGGGAUUGGCACAAACCAUGAAAAACGAACAGCCACAGUCAGAACACCUUGGAGCUAGGCUGAAGAAGACGUGGUAGAAAAUGGCCUUAAAAAGUGUUUUAAGCUUAAUACUCCACCAAAAAUAAGUUAGAAUGUCUUGAACUUAUAAAGAAUUUAUAAAGAAGUAUCCAAUUCUUGCCAGGCGAUCAAGGACAAUGGUGAAAGGGUACAUUAGAACAAGGCAACUGGCCUUGCAAUAGGCUCAUCAAAAAGCAAACAAUUAAACAAAUAGAUACUUUAAAUUAUAGAAUAGACUAGAUUGCAUUUUGAUUUAAGCUUUAUAUCUGAAUACCAUCAGUGAUUGACAUUUUCUUUGGAUAUUGUUCUAUUUUUAUUUAUUUUUUAACAAUUAAAAAUUUGAAAUUGAA